GACAGAGGGGGCGAGCGUUGUCCGGGGUCACUGGGCGUAAAGCGCGCGCAGGCGGCAACCUUAGUGUCGUGUGAAAGCCCCCGGCUCAACCGGGGGAGGCCAUGGCAAACUGGGUCGCUCGAGCUGCGGAGAGGCUCCUCGAAUUGCCGGUGUAGCGGUGAAAUGCGUAGAGAUCGGCAGGAAGGCCAAGGGGGAAGCCAGGGGGCUGGCCGCAGGCUGACGCUGAGGCGCGACAGCGUGGGGAGCAAACCGG
rnacentral:rRNA from 1 species